UGGGGAAUAUUGCACAAUGGGCGAAAGCCUGAUGCAGCGACGCCGCGUGAGGGAAGAAGGUCUUCGGAUUGUAAACCUCUGUCUUUGGGGACGAUAAUGACGGUACCCAAGGAGGAAGCACCGGCUAACUACGUGCCAGCAGCCGCGGUAAAACGUAGGGUGCAAGCGUUGUCCGGAAUUACUGGGUGUAAAGGGAGCGCAGGCGGAAAGGUAAGUUGGAAGUGAAAACUAUGGGCUCAACCCAUAACGUGCUUUCAAAACUAUUUUUCUUGAGUGGUGUAGAGGUAGGCGGAAUUCCCGGUGUAGCGGUGGAAUGCGUAGAUAUCGGGAGGAACACCAGUGGCGAAGGCGGCCUACUGGGCACUAACUGACGCUGAGGCUCGAAAGCAUGGGGAGCAAACA
rnacentral:rRNA from 1 species